GCAUCCUGUUCGCGCAGACGUCAUACGUCAGCAACGCGUUCCCGCUGUUGUUCAGAUCGAGCGACAAUGGAAGGCAAACAGGAGCUCCCCAAAAAAAUAAAGCAAGAAGAAGAAGAGCAGCAGUGUCCUAACGUCCCUUCUGAACCAACAAGAAGCGGCACAGGCAAACGCUCGAGAAGAAAGACAGUCUAUGAAAAAGCUAUGACGAAAAGACGUCUGGAGCAGGAAAGAGCUAAAACCCGAGUUACCAUCGGUGCUGCUUUUCCACGCUGGAGACAGCUGCGAGAGUCAAAGUGUCUGAAAACCGAUGCCAUGGUUGCACUUUUUCUUCUGGACCGUUACGAGAAAAGUACAACAUCCACACCAUUGGUGCAUGAAUUCAUAAAGCCACCGCCAGAGGUUUCCACCGUUUUUUCCGAGUCUAACUACGAACAGCCUGAAAUCAAGUUUCUCAUCAAGGAGGAAGAGGAGGAGAAACCUGCCUGUGAAAUUAGUGUGUAUGAGGAGAGAGAGGAGGAGAAACCUGCCUGUAAAAUUGAGAGUUUAUGAUGAGAGAGCAAGAUGCUUCUGUUGGCACUCAGAGAGCAGCAUCUCCGGGAUGCAGCUGUGUGUUUCUAUGAAGAGUAACAAAUCCAUGAAUGAUAUUCCUCCUGGUCUCAGUGAUGAACCUGCUGUGAACUCUGAACCUGUGUGAGUAUCAUGUAGUUCAGGGCCCAGACUCUGUUGGUGCCCUAGAUUAAAUAUUAUAUUGGUGCACCGCCCCUAAAAACUGAAACACUGGAAAUGUUUGUUUUUUUUCUAAAUAAACUUCA
rnacentral:lncRNA from 1 species